rnacentral:rRNA from 1 species
GACGUAGGGCGCGAGCGUUGUCCGGAUUUAUUGGGCGUCAAGAGCUCGUAGGCGGCUUGUUACGUCGACUGUGAAAACCCGCGGCUCAACCGUGUGGCUUGCAGUCGAUACGGGCAGGCUAGAGUUCGGUAGGGGAGACUGGAAUUCCUGGUGUAGCGGUGAAAUGCGCAGAUAUCAGGAGGAACACCGGUGGCGAAGGCGGGUCUCUGGGCCGAUACUGACGCUGAGGAGCGAAAGCGUGGGGAGCGAACAGG